rnacentral:lncRNA from 12 species
AUGUUUCUUCAAAUGACAGAGUUUGUAAUUUAUUUUUACUUUAUUUUUAUUAUUUACUAUAAUAAGCUGUAUUACUUUAUAUUUAGAAAAAUGAUAUUUCUGGAUGGGCCAGAAGUGCAAAGCAUUCAACUAUUAGAAUUAUGUUGCAAGCAAUACUAUAGAGGUUUGCCUUUCCAAUAUUGCUGUAUUUUGAUGAUCACCUUUGUACCUGAUAGCCAACAGCUCUUCACUUAUAGUUGUCUGGAAGGCAAAAGCCAUACCUAUUUAAGUUGACUCUGUCAUACUCAAAGUAAUAGCACUUGAUUGCAAUUAUAAAAAUGAUGGCUAUGAUAACCCUGCUGCUGGUUUUCAGAAAAGGCUCCAGAAAAUCCAUUUCACAAGGGUAAAACGCAGUGUCGCUGAGGCAACAUAUUAUUAACUCACAGGAACCAUGGACAUUCUUCAGAAAGACCCCAAAUCAUUAUAAAAGUAUAGACAAAAGGAAGAGGUACUAAAGUAUUCACUCCAGGUGCCUUUUAGGCAACACACUAAUUCUGGUGAACAUGAAUAUAAAUAAAUAUUCUGAACAUGAAUAUAAAUAAAUAAUA